rnacentral:rRNA from 1 species
GGCGAGUGGCGAACGGGUGAGUAAUACAUCGCAACGUGUCCUGGAGUGGGGGAUAGCCCGGCGAAAGCCGGAUUAAUACCGCAUACGAUCUCUGGAUGAAAGCGGGGGACCGAAAGGCCUCGCGCUCAAGGGGCGGCCGAUGGCAGAUUAGCUAGUUGGUGGGGUAAAGGCCUACCAAGGCGACGAUCUGUAGCUGGUCUGAGAGGACGACCAGCCACACUGGGACUGAGACACGGCCCAGACUCCUACGGGAGGCAGCAGUGGGGAAUUUUGGACAAUGGGGGCAACCCUGAUCCAGCAAUGCCGCGUGUGUGAAGAAGGCCUUCGGGUUGUAAAGCACUUUUGUCCGGAAAGAAAACCGCUUCUCUAAUACAGAGGUGGGAUGACGGUACCGGAAGAAUAAGCACCGGCUAACUACGUGCCAGCAGCCGCGGUAAUACGUAGGGUGCGAGCGUUAAUCGGAAUUACUGGGCGUAAAGCGUGCGCAGGCGGUUCGCUAAGACCGAUGUGAAAUCCCCGGGCUUAACCUGGGAACUGCAUUGGUGACUGGCGGGCUAGAGUAUGGCAGAGGGGGGUAGAAUCCACGUGUAGCAGUGAAAUGCGUAGAGAUGUGGAGGAAUACCGAUGGCGAAGGCAGCCCCCUGGGCCAAUACUGACGCUCAUGCA